rnacentral:rRNA from 1 species
UACGUAGGGCGCAAGCGUUAUCCGGAAUUAUUGGGCGUAAAGAGCUCGUAGGCGGUUUGUCGCGUCUGCCGUGAAAGUCCGGGGCUCAACUCCGGAUCUGCGGUGGGUACGGGCAGACUAGAGUGAUGUAGGGGAGACUGGAAUUCCUGGUGUAGCGGUGAAAUGCUCAGAUAUCAGGAGGAACACCGAUGGCGAAGGCAGGUCUCUGGGCAUUAACUGACGCUGAGGAGCGAAAGCAUGGGGAGCGAACAGG